rnacentral:rRNA from 1 species
UUAGCGGCGGACGGGUGAGUAACACGUGGGUAACCUGGCCUGUAAGACUGGGAUAACUCCGGGAAACCGGGGCUAAUACCGGAUGCUUGUUUGAACCGCAUGGUUCAAACAUAAAAGGUGGCUUCGGCUACCACUUACAGAUGGACCCGCGGCGCAUUAGCUAGUUGGUGAGGUAAUGGCUCACCAAGGCAACGAUGCGUAGCCGACCUGAGAGGGUGAUCGGCCACACUGGGACUGAGACACGGCCCAGACUCCUACGGGAGGCAGCAGUAG